CGAGUGGCGGACGGGAGAGUAACGUAUGGGGAUCUGCCGAAUGGAGGGGGACAACAGUUGGAAACGACUGCUAAUACCGCAUAAUGUCGCGAGACCAAAGCAUGGGACCUUAGGGCCAUGCGCCAUUUGAUGAACCCAUAUGGGAUUAGCUAGUAGGUGAGGUAAUGGCUCACCUAGGCGACGAUCUCUAGCUGGUCUGAGAGGAUGACCAGCCACACUGGGACUGAGACACGGCCCAGACUCCUACGGGAGGCAGCAGUGGGGAAUAUUGCACAAUGGGGGAAACCCUGAUGCAGCCAUGCCGCGUGUAUGAGGAAGGCCUUCGGGUUGUAAAGUGCUUUCGGUAGCGAGGAAGGGGUUAUAUCUAAUAGGUGUAACCAUUGACGUUAACUACAGAAGAAGCACCGGCUAACUCCGUGCCAGCAGCCGCGGUAAUACGGAGGGUGCGAGCGUUAAGUCGGAAUGACUGGGCGUAAAGGGCAUGUAAGCGGAUAGUUAAGUUAGGUGUGAAAGCCCCCGGGCUCAACCUGGGAAUUGCAUUUAAAAACUGGUUAUCUGGAGUAUUGUAGAGGAAGGUAGAAUUUCCAUGUGUAACGGUGAAAAUGCCUAAAGAUAGUGCAAAGAAUACCCGGUGGAUGACGGCGGGCC
rnacentral:rRNA from 1 species